rnacentral:rRNA from 1 species
UACGUAGGGUGCAAGCGUUGUCCGGAAUUAUUGGGCGUAAAGAGCUCGUAGGCGGUCUGUCGCGUCUGCUGUGAAAACCUGGGGCUUAACCCCGGGCCUGCAGUGGGUACGGGCAGACUAGAGUGCGGUAGGGGAGACUGGAAUUCCUGGUGUAGCGGUGAAAUGCGCAGAUAUCAGGAGGAACACCGGUGGCGAAGGCGGCAUCCUGGACCAAUUCUGACGCUGAGGAGCGAAAGCCAGGGGAGCAAACGGG